rnacentral:rRNA from 1 species
UACGUAGGUGGCAAGCGUUUGUCCGGAAUUAUUGGGCGUAAAGCGCGCGCAGGCGGUCCUUUAAGUCUGAUGUGAAAGCCCACGGCUCAACCGUGGAGGGUCAUUGGAAACUGGGGGACUUGAGUGCAGAAGAGAAGAGUGGAAUUCCAUGUGUAGCGGUGAAAUGCGUAGAGAUGUGGAGGAACACCAGUGGCGAAGGCGGUUAGCUGGGCAGUUGCUGACACUGGAGGCGCGACAGCGUGGGGAGCAAACAGG